UACGAAGGGGGCUAGCGUUGCUCGGAAUUACUGGGCGUAAAGCGCACGUAGGCGGCUUUCUAAGUCGGGGGUGAAAUCCUGGAGCUCAACUCCAGAACUGCCUUCGAUACUGGAGAGCUUGAGUCCGGGAGAGGUGAGUGGAACUGCGAGUGUAGAGGUGAAAUUCGUAGAUAUUCGCAAGAACACCGGUGGCGAAGGCGGCGACCUGGGUAGAUACUGACGCUGAGGCGCGAAAGCGUGGGGAGCAAACAGG
rnacentral:rRNA from 1 species